UAUAUUUUUCUAUAAAAUGCAUUUAAGGAAGCUAUUAUUAGUGUUUUUAUGAAUAUGGGCAUUUGGUUCUACUGUGCAGAGAAUGUAGUGCCCAUGCUGAAUAUCUGAUUUCUGUUCCUCCCCCUAUGUCAGGUUUAUUACAACUGUCUCCUUGUCUAACUCCAUAGUCACUGGAUGCCUUUCUCUUGCAGCUGCACUUGUAUACACAUACAAGUUCUAGAAGAACCAGUGAGAGUGAUUCUAAAACUAGAUACAUGUACUGUAACCCUAUAUUUGGUGGGAAUUCAUUCCCUAUGA
rnacentral:lncRNA from 1 species